UUAGUUUAUCCUGGCUCAGGACGAACGCUGGCGGCGUCCUUAUACAUGCAAGUAGACGCUGAAAGAGGAGCUUGCUCUUNUUGNAUGAGUUGCGAACGGGUGAGUAACGCGUAGGUACCNUGCNUUGUAGCGGGGGAUAACUAUUGGAAACGAUAGCUAAUACCGCAUAACAAUGGGUGACUCAUGUCAUUUAUUUGAAAGGGGCAAAUGCUCCACUACAAGAUGGACCUGCGUUGUAUUAGCUAGUAGGUGAGGUAACGGCUCACCUAGGCGACGAUACAUAGCCGACCUGAGAGGGUGAUCGGCCACACUGGGACUGAGACACGGCCCAGACUCCUACGGGAGGCAGCAGUAGGGAAUCUUCGGCAAUGGGGGCAACCCUGACCGAGCAACGCCGCGUGAGUGAAGAAGGUUUUCGGAUCGUAAAGCUCUGUUGUAAGUCAAGAACGAGUGUGAGAGUGGAAAGUUCACACUGUGACGGUAGCUUACCAGAAAGGGACGGCUAACUACGUGCCAGCAGCCGCGGUAAUACGUAGGUCCCGAGCGUUGUCCGGAUUUAUUGGGCGUAAAGCGAGCGCAGGCGGUUUGAUAAGUCUGAAGUUAAAGGCUGUGGCUCAACCAUAGUUCGCUUUGGAAACUGUCAAACUUGAGUGCAGAAGGGGAGAGUGGAAUUCCAUGUGUAGCGGUGAAAUGCGUAGAUAUAUGGAGGAACACCGGUGGCGAAAGCGGCUCUCUGGUCUGUAACUGACGCUGAGGCUCGAAAGCGUGGGGACGACANCAUUC
rnacentral:rRNA from 1 species